rnacentral:rRNA from 1 species
GACGAACGCUGGCGGCGUGCUUAACACAUGCAAGUCGAACGGAAAGGCCCUGCUUUUGUGGGGUGCUCGAGUGGCGAACGGGUGAGUAACACGUGAGUAACCUGCCCUUGACUUUGGGAUAACUUCAGGAAACUGGGGCUAAUACCGGAGAGGAGCUCCUGCUGCAUGGUGGGGGUUGGAAAGUUUCGGCGGUUGGGGAUGGACUCGCGGCUUAUCAGCUGGUUGGUGGGGUAGUGGCUUACCAAGGCUUUGACGGGUAGCCGGCCUGAGAGGGUGACCGGCCACAUUGGGACUGAGAUACGGCCCAGACUCCUACGGGAGGCAGCAGUGGGGAAUAUUGCACAAUGGGCGGAAGCCUGAUGCAGCAACGCCGCGUGCGGGAUGACGGCCUUCGGGUUGUAAACCGCUUUCGCCUGUGACGAAGCGUGAGUGACGGUAAUGGGUAAAGAAGCACCGGCUAACUACGUG